rnacentral:lncRNA from 1 species
AUGAAAUUGGCUCAUUUAAUUUAAGACAACAAAAUUUGAAUCAUCUUGGAAGGAACCAAAAAUAAGACCAUGUAAUUUGAUAGCGUAUAUACAUUUUUAACGGCAUGAUGAAUAAUACUCUCAAGUUACAAUCACUUCUACAGCAGGGCAUAAUAAAUCACUUUUUACCAAGUUCAAGCUCUCUUACUGUGUAAAAUGACUUAUCACAUGCCCUUCACAGGAACCUUUUAGAAUUUGCAAUCCUUGAUUUAUGGUUAGAAUCUUGUACUUAAAAUUACAACAUUAAAACCUUACCAAAAAAAAUUUACAACAUUAAAUCAUUGGAUAAUGAAGAAUGUGUUACCAUAUACCAAAACCAACAAAUACAAAUCUACCAUUCAAUCUAUAUGUGAAGAAUUCCAUACCAGUAACUUUUGGACCUAGAGAAUUUGUUCAGAGCAACAAUUGUGAACCUCACAAACUACAAGGAUUUGAGCAUAUGUUUUCAACAUCAUCAUGCAACUUUUUUUGGCCUUGUUAGCAUACUCCAGUGCAUCGACACUGAUGCAAUUCUAGAAAAGUCGAAAAUGGUAGUACAUACAAGAAUUAUAGUCAUUAUUAUAACAGACAUAAAGCAUAAUCAUGAUGAACAAAGGGCACAGGAACCUUUCAACCAAUUUGAAAUAAACCAUCACCUUUAAAAAUUUAAAAUGACAAAUACAAUAUUAAGGAAAGUUAAGAGACCAAUAAUGCAGCAGCUAUAAGUGGCAUUCUCUUCAUCAGCAAUGAACUUGUUGUCACCUAAUUUAACAUAACUGGUAAAGUCAUGAAUCAACACCAAAAUCAAUCAAAAGCAAAAACUUACAAAAGAAAUCAUAGGAACAAAUGCAAAUAAAAAUAAAAAUCAAGAAGUAAGAAACCAUGAAAUAACAGCUAGUACUAAAAACUAAAAAGCUACAAGUCCCAAAAACCAUCACCUUACCCAAACUACCAGCAGCAAUAACAGAUACAGAACCACAAACAAGAGAGCCAAAAUUCAAAAGACAGACGCCAGGAAACCCAAACCNNNAAUAACAUAAACUAAGAAUCCAAUCACUCAAGAACAGAGCACGAAAGCACAUAAAAACAAGUACCAUAGGCCAAAAACACCAGCAGCCGCAACUGGAAAAGGACCAAACCAAUGCACACACCAGCUUAUCCGAACCACCCUUAGAUUCUAUUUAAUCCUACAACUCUUUUAUAUAGUUAAAGCAAGUGGAACUUUCAGGCUAUUGAUACAAACAAAGAGAGUAAAAUCGUUAGUGCACUAAUAUAAUUGAAGAAUUGUUUUAACGAUAAGCCAACAACUACAGCCUUAAAACCAAAACCAUACAGUAACAAAUAUAAACAGAAAUUCUAAACUAAACAGAAAUUCUUCUUAGUUAUAUUUGUUAAUUGAUAUAUGAAAAUUCUUCCAAUUAACCUAAACUUAAACAAAACAGAAAUCUUAGUUUAAUAAAAAUAGAACAAAAACAGAUCUGCAGAGAUCUAAACUAAGAACACAAACAUAACAUAAUUUUAAGAAUAGAAAUUGAGAAACUAAGAACUAAAAUCUCUAUACCUGUUUGUGUUUCAGUCAGAUGGAGAGGAAACGAGAGAGAGCUUCAAUUCAUGACGAAAGAGAGCUUCAAUUCAUGUAAUUUGCAUUUUGGUGAGUUUAGGGUUCGUGAGGCUUGAUUCAGUACUGAAAGGGAACGUGAGGGUUUGAGUGAGAGUGAUGAGCGUGAGAGUGAGAGGAAUANNNN